rnacentral:tRNA from 1 species
CGGCGGGUAUGCAAGUGGUCAAAGCGGCGUGGCUGUAAUCCACGCGUCGAAAGGCUUCGCAGGUUCGAAUCCGUGCCCCGUCGA